rnacentral:rRNA from 1 species
CGGCUCAAGAGCAAGCGCUCGCCCGGCUUGGACGGCAUAAAUGGCGCAAUCUGCAAGGCAGUCUGGCGAGCCGUACUGCCUGCUGAGUGCAUACGCGGAUGAUCUGCUUCUUCUCGUCGAGGGAAACUCCCGAGUCGUGUUAGAGGAAAAAGGAGCGCAACUUAUGUCCAUCGUAGAAACGUGGGGAUCGAAAGUUGGCGUUGCUGUCUCGACCAGCAAGACGGUAAUAAUGCUGCUCAAAGGUACUUUGAGACGUGCGCCCACGGUAAGGUUUGCUGGAGCGAACCUGCCGUAUGUGCGUAGCUGUCGGUAUCUCGGCAUCACGGUCAGUGAGGGAAUGAAAUUCCUCACGCACAUAGCUUCGCUGCGCCAGCGGAUGACCGGAGUCGUUGGAGCAUUGGCGCGUGUGCUUCGAGCCGACUGGGGUUUCAGUCCUCGAGCCAGGCGGACCAUAUAUGACGGACUCAUGGCACCCUGUGUGCUGUUUGGUGCCCCGGUAUGGUACGACACCGCCGGGCAAGUAGCUGCCAAGAGGCGACUAGCCUCCUGCCAGAGGCUGAUCCUGCUUGGAUGCCUUUCGGCUUGCCGAACAGUGUCCAUCGUGGCAGGUUCUUGGUGGAGCCCCCCCGCUUGACUUGGCUGCUAAGCAAUUAGCGGUCAAUUACAAGCUAAAACGUGGAUACCCGCUGGAGGAGAACGACUGGCUCUACGGCGAGGACAUCGCUUGUCUAAGCUGGGAGCAGAGAAAGACUCGCUUGGAGGAGUGCAUGCUGCGGAGUUGGCAGAACAGAUGGGACGACGACAGCGAACCAGGACGGGUGACGCACAGGUUCAUCCCAGAUGUCACUCUCGUUUAUCGGGAUCCAAAUUGGUUUCUCGAUGAAGGCGUCUUUCCUGCUUACUGGGCACGGGUCGUUUAAUGCAUUUUUGCACGGGAGAGCCCUCAGCGAUACCACAGCUUGCGCAUGUGGCGAUCCAUAUGAUGACUGGAUGCACGUAUUGUGCGCUUGCCCGCUGUUUGUAGAUUUGCAUGACCUCGAUGGACUUGGAGUGCAGCGCGUUAGCGAAAACUGGAUGUUCGAAGGAAUCCUGGAGGAUCGAGAGAGGACCCAACGGCUGGCAGCGUUCGCUGAGGAAGCGUUCCGCAGGAGGAGGGGCCUUUAGCCCAACGCCUUUCGCCGUGUAGUUAGCGGGCGAGAAUACUACCACAGUCCGCUGUUGCUUGUCGUAGGAGGCGACUAAUACGGCUAUAGGUCGCUCCGCCCGUGCUUGUCGGAGCCAAAGGAGUGAGGCCGACCGAGCCUCUAAUUUCGGUACCACGGGUUGAGCAGCUCUCCAAGGUUGCUCAUUGAUGUAGGCCCCCUAGUGGGAGUAUCGUGGUGGCUGUGGUUGGUACCCAUAUCGCGGGUAGAGCCUUCGUGCUCGACGUUUGAGUUACGGCGAUGGUUUACGCAAAACUCGGGUGCUGUGACCCUUAGAUCAGUAGAGAUUUUAGGUAGAUCUCGCUCCUCAGCAAGGGGGAGUGCUUGCCCGGCAAGCAAGCACUCGAAUCUGCCACCGGGGUGGUCGCUAUGUACAUAGCUUUAGCUUCUAGACCGGGACGUUUGUCUGGCGUAUCCAGACUAAUGCAUCUUUGGAUGUCGUGGUUGUAGUCUCUUCAAUGUGGAACACGCCACGUAAAACAAGUUCGGAGGGAUCCGAAAUCACACACUGUCCCUAUCUACUAUCUAGCGAAACCACAGCCAAGGGAACGGGCUUGGAAUAAUUAGCGGGGAAAGAAGACCCUUUUGAGCUUGACUCUAAUCUGGCAGUGUAAGGAGACAUAAGAGGUGUAGAAUAAGUGGGAGAUAUUAGACCUCGGUUUGGUAUCGUCAAUGAAAUACCACUACUCUUAUUGUUUCCUUACUUACUUGAUUAAAUGGAACGUGUAUCAUUUCCUAGCCAUUAUACGGAUAUAUUUAUUAUAUCUUAUGGUAUUGGGUUUUGAUGCAAGCUUCUUGAUCAAAGUAUCACGAGUUUGUUAUAUAAUCGCAAACAAAUUCUUUAAUAAAACGAUGCAUUUAUGUAUUUUUGAUUUGAAAACUUGGUAUAACUCCAAUUACUCAGGUAUGAUCCAAUUCAAGGACAUUGCCAGGUAUGGAGUUUGGCUGGGGCGGUACAUCUCUCAAAUAAUAACGGAGGUGUCCCAAGGCCAGCUCAGUCCGGACAGAAACCACACAUAGAGCAAAAGGGCAAAUGCUGACUUGAUCUCGGUGUUCAGUACACACAGGGACAGCAAAAGCUCGGCCUAUCGAUCCUUUUGGUUUAAAGAGUUUUUAACAAGAGGCGUCAGAAAAGUUACCAUAGGCUCUUCCUAUCAUUGUGAAGCAAAAUUCACCAAGCGUUGGAUUGUUCACCCAUGCAAGGGAACGUGAGCUGGGUUUAGACCGUCGUGAGACAGGUUAGUUUUACCCUACUAAUGACAAAACGUUGUUGCGACAGCAUUCCUGCGUAGUACGAGAGGAACCGCAGGUACGGACCAAUGGCACAAUACUUGUUCGAGCGAACAGUGGUAUGACGCUACGUCCGUUGGAUUAUGCCUGAACGUCUCUAAGGUCGUAUCCGUGCUGGACUGCAAUGAUAAAUAAGGGGCAAUUUGCAUUGUAUGGCUUCUAAACCAUUUAAAGUUUAUAAUUUACUUUAUAAACGACAAUGGAUGUGAUGCCAAUGUA